CAGUAUGAUGAAAAGAGGGAGACGGUGCACCAGAUUGUCCAGAAUAAGAAGCAGUAAACGAUCUGCCAGACCCAUCUGGUA
rfam:Arabidopsis lyrata subsp. lyrata unplaced genomic scaffold ARALYscaffold_8, whole genome shotgun sequence.